CCCUGACAUGUUUGCAUAUUUGUAGGUAUCAUUCAUCCAGAAUCUGGUGUUCUGUGUGGAGAGAGUUUAUCGUGUGCCAGACUUUGGCAUGUUGGAGCGGGGAAGCAAAUAUAACAAUGGAAGCACAGAACUGCAUUCCAGCUCGCUGGGACUAGCCAAAGCAGCUCUGGAAGCCAUCAAUGGAUUCAACUUGUUUGGAAAUCAGGGAUGCUCCUGGUCAGUGAUUUUUGUGGAUCUGGAUGCUCAUAACAGAAACAGACAGACUCUGUGCUCUCUCCUGCCGAGGAAGUUCCCAUAACACAGAUUCGACCCUCUUGUCCUGCAUCAGCUACACAGUAUUCGCCGUGGAUGAUGAUGCUCUAUUCCCAGACUCUGGACAAGAUAGUCUGAAAGCUGAAGGGCAAGUAUGGUUUCUUAUGGGACGGCUAUAGAACAGCCGAUGAGGACAAAAACCGAAGGCACUACAAACCUGCCGAGAUGAAGCUCUUUGAUGGGAUCAAGUGCGAGUUUCCUUUGUUUUUCAUCUAUGUGAUUAUUGAUGGUGUGUUUAGGGGAAAUCCUGCUCAAGUUAAAGAGUUCCAGGAACUGCUAGAAGCUGUCAUCUUCCUGUCCUUUGAGGGCCACGCUGUUAUUCCCAAGUAUCACUAUGCGCCGGCAGACUUUGUAGAGGCUGAACAGAAGAAUCAUGGCACCCAGAAGCGCUUCCCCAGAAACUCAGGGCAUGAUGGGAUGCGUUCCUCGGGGGAAAGGCCCUCUAUAACAUCGCUAAGCUGCUGGUGGAUGGUUUGAUCAGCCCAAAAGACAUUGACCCCAUCCAUCGCUAUGUGCCACGACAGGAUCAGAGGAGCGUCAGCAAGUGAAACUCCAAUCAGGGUCCCAUUGAGAACGAUGUGGUCAUUCAUGUGACCCUGAUAGCAGAAAGUCAAAGAUUGCAGGUCUUCCUCAACACCAUGGCAUCUAAACUCAGACCCCACAGCAGGUGGAGCCCAUUCAGAUCUGGCCCCAGAAAGGGCUGGUUAAGGUAUGACUGUUCAGUCAAUCAAACUGACCAACAGACAAAUCUUCCAGACUGAUCAAUUUCAGUGACAGUCGCUCCAUUAGACCACUGGUCAAUUUGGGCCGACUGGCACAUCAGUCAUGUCAGCCGGUGAAUUAUUUUUGCAUGCUCUUAA